AACUUCAACUUUUUUAAGUAUCAAGUUUGCGAAGGGUGAUAAUUAUUCUAUUAUUAUUUUAAAGUUGAUACAGUUUACAAUAUCUCAAGGCUCGAGCAGCUGG